rnacentral:rRNA from 1 species
GAUGAACGCUAGCGGCAGGCCUAACACAUGCAAGUCGAGGGGUAACAUAGAAAAGCUUGCUUUUCUGAUGACGACCGGCGCACGGGUGCGUAACGCGUAUACAACCUACCUUUUAGCGGGGAAUAGCCCAGGGAAACUUGGAUUAAUGCCCCAUAGUAUAUAGACUUCUCCUGAAGUUUAUAUUAAACAUUUAUGGCUAUUAGAUGGGUAUGCGUCCUAUUAGUUAGUUGGUAAGGUAACGGCUUACCAAGGCAGCGAUAGGUAGGGGUCCUGAGAGGGAGAUCCCCACACUGGUACUGAGACACGGACCAGACUCCUACGGGAGGCAGCAGUGAGGAAUAUUGGACAAUGGGCGAGAGCCUGAUCCAGCCAUGCCGCGUGCAGGAAGACUGCCCUAUGGGUUGUAAACUGCUUUUACAGAGGAAGAACCACCCCCACGUGUGGGGGUUUGACGGUACUCUGCGAAUAAGGAUCGGCUAACUCUGUG